AGAGUUUGAUCCUGGCUCAGGACGAACGCUGGCGGCGCGCCUAACACAUGCAAGUCGAACGGAGCUUAGAGAGCUUGCUUUUUAAGCUUAGUGGCGAACGGGUGAGUAACGCGUGAGUAACCUGCCCUAGAGUGGGGGACAACAGUUGGAAACGACUGCUAAUACCGCAUAAGCCCACGGUAUCGCAUGAUACUGAGGGAAAAGGAUUUAUUCGCUUUAGGAUGGACUCGCGUCCAAUUAGCUAGUUGGUGAGGUAACGGCCCACCAAGGCGACGAUUGGUAGCCGGACUGAGAGGUUGAACGGCCACAUUGGGACUGAGACACGGCCCAGACUCCUACGGGAGGCAGCAGUGGGGGAUAUUGCACAAUGGGGGAAACCCUGAUGCAGCGACGCCGCGUGGAGGAAGAAGGUUUUCGGAUUGUAAACUCCUGUCGUUAGGGACGAUAAUGACGGUACCUAACAAGAAAGCACCGGCUAACUACGUGCCAGCAGCCGCGGUAAAACGUAGGGUGCAAGCGUUGUCCGGAAUUACUGGGUGUAAAGGGAGCGCAGGCGGGAAGACAAGUUGGAAGUGAAAACCAUGGGCUCAACCCAUGAAUUGCUUUCAAAACUGUUUUUCUUGAGUAGUGCAGAGGUAGAUGGAAUUCCCGGUGUAGCGGUGGAAUGCGUAGAUAUCGGGAGGAACACCAGUGGCGAAGGCGGUCUACUGGGCACCAACUGACGCUGAGGCUCGAAAGCAUGGGUAGCAAACAGGAUUAGAUACCCUGGUAGUCCAUGCCGUAAACGAUGAUUACUAGGUGUUGGAGGAUUGACCCCUUCAGUGCCGCAGUUAACACAAUAAGUAAUCCACCUGGGGAGUACGACCGCAAGGUUGAAACUCAAAGGAAUUGACGGGGGCCCGCAC
rnacentral:rRNA from 1 species